rfam:Picea glauca, whole genome shotgun sequence.
ACAUGCUUACAUCAUAGUGUUAAUGCACCGACAAACAUUAUAACUUUGCAGUUAAGUGCACUUGGGAUAGAGUAGUACUGGGAUGGGUGACCGCUCGAUAAGUCUUAGUAUUUUACAUGCC